CGCCCCUGGCAGUGGGCAAAGAGACACCUUGUUGGUGGUGAUGCCUUUAUAUCAGUCAGGAGCAGAGCAGGAUGCAGUCCUUGUUCAUCCUAGCUUGAUACCUGGCUUGGCGGUCAAAGCUGUUUUACGCCCAGGACAUACAA